rnacentral:sRNA from 1 species
UCUCAGAUAAUGUAGAUUUAAAUUCUUUCAAAUCAAAAUCUUGAGGAGUAGGGUGGGGCCACAUUUGGAUUCCAAUUUUAAAAAGGGAAAUAUUUUAAUUAUUCACAAAAAAAAAUGAAAUGUUAUGAUAUAUGGUUUUACUUAAAUGCGAAAAGCAUUCUCGCAGAUUGCUGAUUCUUUCAAAUUGUUUAGGCUUUGGCUCUUUGACGAUUCUUUGGCCACAAAAGGGGUUCAGAGUUUGAUGUAGGUUUAUAUCCCAUAUAUAUACAAUUUUUUUGGAUCUUUUUGAGAACUGAAAUGCUCAACAAGUGAUAUGACUAUAAAAUCAUCCUGUUAGAAAAGGGACUUAAUGAACAAAAAAAAUAUCCAGGGUAAAAAAAGGACUUUUAUUUAUACAGGAUCUACAUGUAUUAUACUACAUUGUCCAGAUAGCUUGUAUUAUGACUCUGUUAAGCUGAUUUUACCAUACCUAUUUGUUGCUCAGGUGAGCAAUGUGGCCCAUGGGCCUCUUGUUAAUUAAUGUGUUAAAUUGUAUGUUGAGUUUAUUCAAGGUGUCUUUAAUUUGUCAUCAUUUUCUAUAUACAUGUACAACUGUGCAGUUCUAUAGUUAUAUUUAUGACAGAUUUUAUGGUAAAGUAUUUAAACAAUGUGCAGAGUAUUCACAGAUGAGAAUAUAUUGUUUAUACAUCAGAUGAGUGGAACAGUGGACCUGAUGGGUACAGUGCUAUGUGUGUUUGCAAUGUUCAUCAUUGAAAUAAAAUUAAUCAAUGUU